rnacentral:lncRNA from 1 species
GCCCCACCCGCCCAAGCCGGCCCGCUGCGCACCUCUGGGAGUGGUGGGCCAGGCGAAGGUGCCACAGUGCGCGGCCCAGGCGCUGCUGCUGCAGCAGGAGCUGGCCUGGGGCUCCCCGGCGCCGCCGUUUACAGGCGAGCGCAGGCCCAUGUUCUCGAAGUAGUGGGCCAGGAAUGCGAUCGGUUCCUCGGGCCGCGCCUCCAGCACCUUCAGCAGGGCCGCCCGUAGCAUCUCCGUCACGCCGACCUGCCGCAGGAAGUCCUCCUCGCUCUCGGCCGCCCCCGCCGCCCGGGAUACCGACUGGCGGCCGCUGUCGGUGAAACCAGCCGGUGGUGCUACCGCUGGCCGCCGCUUCUCCACUGCCGCCAUCUUCGCUGAGGGCAUCGGGACCGGAAGCACCGCCAUAUUCCACCGUGCGCUAGAGCCCCAAGGCGGCCAUCUUGAUUAAGGGCAGAGGGCACUGGGAUCCCGCUGGGAAACUUUGGGAAAUGACAAAGGCCCUAUGUCCUUGUCGGCAUUCCCUUUUCUCCUCCCUGUUUGUGUAUAUUGAUUGGCUUUCCUGUCUUUGGCCUGGAUCCUGAAUUUUGCCAGACUCCAAAAUGGCUGCCUCGGAAGUGCUCCGUUUCUGGCACGAAGCCGGAUUGCUUGUCAUUUGGGUAGUGAGCGAGUCCUUUAUUAGCCUGGUCUCCUAGCAACCAGUCUCCCCGGUUACCAGAGGCCUGACGGAGCCUGCGCGGGGAUGGACCUGCCUAGGACUGCUGGACCCAGCCCCGCGCCCGGCCCGCAGACCCUUUUCUCAUGUUCAUUUCUGAGCCUUGGUGCUGGGGGUCGAGCCCCGCCGGGACUUCCGCCUGACCCAGUCUCCGUCUGAGUGCGCAGCUCCCCUCGUGGGAGAAGCCCCCUCCCCAGCCCAGCUCCGCUGCAGCCGCGCUGAGCCCCUAGUGGCGGCCACCCGGGCGAGCAUCCCAGGCUGUUACCCUCCUGACCGCCAGAGGGAGCCUUCUGACACCGCCGCCUCCAGAGCUCUAAACUCUCCCAUGGCUCCCCAGUACCCCCAGGCUGUCACCUCCAGCCCUUGCUGACCUCGCUUCCAGCCGCCCUCCCAACCCUCCUCAGCCCCCGGCCACCUCAAAGCACAGCCUCCUGCUCAGGCCACCUCUCCGUGUGUUUCCCCAGGCGACCUCUAUAUAUCUUUCCUCACUUCUCCCACAGCUUUCGGGGAGUCCUGGUUAAGCUUCUCACCAGGGAGACCACUAAGCCCUCGCAUUUUCCCGCCCCCGGCAGAGCUUGCUGGGUGCCCUCCCUGUCCCUCAGGGCCGUUGCCCUGGGCAGGGGGUAAUGAGAGCUGUUUCGGGGGGUGGGGGGCGUUCCACCAUCCUCCGACCACAGGAGUCUCUGGCGGGCAGACCAAAUGCCCUUUGUCCAACGUAAAGUAGAGGUUCCUCUUCAUACUAUACUUUCCUCCCCAUCUAAUUAGGAAUAAAUAGUAACUUCUCUUAGAAGCAAAAUGUAUUCAAAGA